AGGAAGCUAGUCCAACUAAAGACCUCUGAUUUCGGCUCAGAAAAUCGUGGUUAAACUCCACGGCCUCCUU
rnacentral:tRNA from 1 species